rnacentral:rRNA from 1 species
GAUGAACGCUGGCGGCGUGCCUAAUACAUGCAAGUCGAGCGAACGGACGAGAAGCUUGCUUCUCUGAUGUUAGCGGCGGACGGGUGAGUAACACGUGGAUAACCUACCUAUAAGACUGGGAUAACUUCGGGAAACCGGAGCUAAUACCGGAUAAUAUUUUGAACCGCAUGGUUCAAAAGUGAAAGACGGUCUUGCUGUCACUUAUAGAUGGAUCCGCGCUGCAUUAGCUAGUUGGUAAGGUAACGGCUUACCAAGGCAACGAUGCAUAGCCGACCUGAGAGGGUGAUCGGCCACACUGGAACUGAGACACAGUCCAGACCCCUACGGGAGGCAGCAGUAGGGAAUCUUCCGCAAUGGGCGAAAGCCUGACGGAGCAACGCCGCGUGAGUGAUGAAGGUCUUCGGAUCGUAAAACUCUGUUAUUAGGGAAGAACAUAUGUGUAAGUAACUGUGCACAUCUUGACGGUACCUAAUCAGAAAGCCACGGCUAACUACGUGCCAGCAGCCGCGGUAAUACGUAGGUGGCAAGCGUUAUCCGGAAUUAUUGGGCGUAAAGCGCGCGUAGGCGGUUUUUUAAGUCUGAUGUGAAAGCCCACGGCUCAACCGUGGAGGGUCAUUGGAAACUGGAAAACUUGAGUGCAGAAGAGGAAAGUGGAAUUCCAUGUGUAGCGGUGAAAUGCGCAGAGAUAUGGAGGAACACCAGUGGCGAAGGCGACUUUCUGGUCUGUAACUGACGCUGAUGUGCGAAAGCGUGGGGAUCAAACAGGAUUAGAUACCCUGGUAGUCCACGCCGUAAACGAUGAGUGCUAAGUGUUAGGGGGUUUCCGCCCCUUAGUGCUGCAGCUAACGCAUUAAGCACUCCGCCUGGGGAGUACGACCGCAAGGUUGAAACUCAAAGGAAUUGACGGGGACCCGCACAAGCGGUGGAGCAUGUGGUUUAAUUCGAAGCAACGCGAAGAACCUUACCAAAUCUUGACAUCCUUUGACAACUCUAGAGAUAGAGCCUUCCCCUUCGGGGGACAAAGUGACAGGUGGUGCAUGGUUGUCGUCAGCUCGUGUCGUGAGAUGUCGGGUUAAGUCCCGCAACGAGCGCAACCCUUAAGCUUAGUUGCCAUCAUUAAGUUGGGCACUCUAAGUUGACUGCCGGUGACAAACCGGAGGAAGGUGGGGAUGACGUCAAAUCAUCAUGCCCCUUAUGAUUUGGGCUACACACGUGCUACAAUGGACAAUACAAAGGGCAGCGAAACCGCGAGGUCAAGCAAAUCCCAUAAAGUUGUUCUCAGUUCGGAUUGUAGUCUGCAACUCGACUACAUGAAGCUGGAAUCGCUAGUAAUCGUAGAUCAGCAUGCUACGGUGAAUACGUUCCCGGGUCU